rnacentral:rRNA from 1 species
AGUGAACGCUGGCGGUAGGCCUAACACAUGCAAGUCGAACGGCAGCACAGGAGAGCUUGCUCUCUGGGUGACGAGUGGCGGACGGGUGAGGAAUACAUCGGAAUCUACUCUGUCGUGGGGGAUAACGUAGGGAAACUUACGCUAAUACCGCAUACGACCUACGGGUGAAAGCAGGGGACCUUCGGGCCUUGCGCGAUUGAAUGAGCCGAUGUCGGAUUAGCUAGUUGGCGGGGUAAAGGCCCACCAAGGCGACGAUCCGUAGCUGGUCUGAGAGGAUGAUCAGCCACACUGGAACUGAGACACGGUCCAGACUCCUACGGGAGGCAGCAGUGGGGAAUAUUGGACAAUGGGCGCAAGCCUGAUCCAGCCAUACCGCGUGGGUGAAGAGGGCCUUCGGGUUGUAAAGCCCUUUUGUUGGGAAAGAAAUCCAGCUGGCUAAUACCCGGUUGGGAUGACGGUACCCAAAGAAUAAGCACCGGCUAACUUCGUGCCAGCAGCCGCCGUAA